rnacentral:ncRNA from 1 species
ACUGUUAAAUGGCAAACUCAACGAAAGUUGGGGACGCAAAGUCACCGGUCUAAAAGAGUUCAUCUCUCAUGAUAGCGGGAUUGCACAC